GACGAACGCUGGCGGCGUGCUUAACACAUGCAAGUCGAACGGUGAAGCGCCUUCCUUUUUGGUGGGUGUGGAUGAGUGGCGAACGGGUGAGUAACACGAUAGUAACCUGCCCCCUCCUUCUGGAUAACCGCAUGACAGUGUGGCUAAUACGGGAUAUUCUGGGUCUGUCGCAUGAUGGGUCUGGGAAAGACUUUGUUUCGGUGGUGGAUGGGUUCGCGGCUUAUCAGCUUGUUGGUGGGGUGAUGGCCUACCAAGGCGGUGACGGGUAGCCGGCCUGAGAGGGUGGACGGUCACACAGGGACGGAGAGACGGCCAAUACUCCUAGGGGAGGCAGCAGGGAGGAUUAUGGCACGAUGGGCGGAAUCCUGAUGCAGCGACGCGGCGUUAGUGAUGGAGGCCGGCGGGUUGUGAACCGCUUUCACCAGUGAAGCAGUCCUGCCUCGUUUGUGGAUAGGUUGACGGUAGCUGGACAAAAAGCGCCGGCUAACUACGUG
rnacentral:rRNA from 1 species